GCCUGUUGUUGUAUACUGUAUUACUGUUCAUAUAUGCUUUGACAAACAUUUGAACAUUAUAUAAAAAAUAUGCAAUAGCAUUUGGACAUAACAAGCACUACUGCACUAGAAUUAUUGCACAAGCAGGUUUCUAAAGAGUAACUAAUGCAUAAGCCCAGGGCCAGCGACACAGGUUCAUGACACACAUGGCGCAAACUAAGGCCCAAGCACUACACACGUAAAAACGCACAAGUUGUUACAAAUCUGUUCACAAGCUGUCAACAAGUUGUGUUCGGACUGCUUGUUCCCACUUGUUGUAACAAG